UGGAUACGGCCGAUGCGGAGACGGUCCUCGUUCUGUUUCCUAAGACCCAGAACAGACGUGCUGCCGACACGAGACAGACUGACCUGAGGUGGAGAACGACAUGCUUUGUAGUAUUGGUUCUUCUAUCCUGUUGUCCCAAAUACCAAAUGAGUCCCAGGUCACUGGACGGACGCUGAUGUCACCGUCCAAUCCGACUGAUCCACUUCCCCGCCGCACGCCCACCAUCCCGAACAAUGCCCCACCCAUCUACAGGACGAUCAUCCCGGACAAGAAAAUCACAUGCAAGUCACAGAUUCACCUGUCCAGAGGCUGUGGAGGUUUCUGGCUGGGAUCGUACGGAGAGGAAGGUUUGUCUGGCGAUUGUGGAGCGACCACA